rnacentral:rRNA from 1 species
CAGGCUUAACACAUGCAAGUCGAGGGGCAGCAUGGUCUUAGCUUGCUAAGGCCGAUGGCGACCGGCGCACGGGUGAGUAACACGUAUCCAACCUGCCGUCUACUCUUGGACAGCCUUCUGAAAGGAAGAUUAAUACAAGAUGGCAUCAUGAGUCCGCAUGUUCACAUGAUUAAAGGUAUUCCGGUAGACGAUGGGGAUGCGUUCCAUUAGAUAGUAGGCGGGGUAACGGCCCACCUAGUCUUCGAUGGAUAGGGGUUCUGAGAGGAAGGUCCCCCACAUUGGAACUGAGACACGGUCCAAACUCCUACGGGAGGCAGCAGUGAGGAAUAUUGGUCAAUGGGCGAGAGCCUGAACCAGCCAAGUAGCGUGAAGGAUGACUGCCCUAUGGGUUGUAAACUUCUUUUAUAAAGGAAUAAAGUCGGGUAUGGAUACCCGUUUGCAUGUACUUUAUGAAUAAGGAUCGGCUAACUCCGUGCCAGCAGCCGCGGUAAUACGGAGGAUCCGAGCGUUGUCCGGAUUUAUUGGGUUUAAAGGGAGCGUAGAUGGAUGUUUAAGUCAGUUGUGAAAGUUUGCGGCUCAACCGUAAAAUUGCAGUUGAUACUGGAUAUCUUGAGUGCAGUUGAGGCAGGCGGAAUUCGUGGUGUAGCGGUGAAAUGCUUAGAUAUCACGAAGAACUCCGAUUGCGAAGGCAGCCUGCUAAGCUGCAACUGACAUUGAGGCUCGAAAGUGUGGGUAUCAAACAGGAUUAGAUACCCUGGUAGUCCACACGGUAAACGAUGAAUACUCGCUGUUUGCGAUAUACUGCAAGCGGCCAAGCGAAAGCGUUAAGUAUUCCACCUGGGGAGUACGCCGGCAACGGUGAAACUCAAAGGAAUUGACGGGGGCCCGCACAAGCGGAGGAACAUGUGGUUUAAUUCGAUGAUACGCGAGGAACCUUACCCGGGCUUAAAUUGCAGAUGAAUUACGGUGAAAGCCGUAAGCCGCAAGGCAUCUGUGAAGGUGCUGCAUGGUUGUCGUCAGCUCGUGCCGUGAGGUGUCGGCUUAAGUGCCAUAACGAGCGCAACCCUUGUUGUCAGUUACUAACAGGUUCCGCUGAGGACUCUGACAAGACUGCCAUCGUAAGAUGUGAGGAAGGUGGGGAUGACGUCAAAUCAGCACGGCCCUUACGUCCGGGGCUACACACGUGUUACAAUGGGGGGUACAGAGGGCCGCUACCACGCGAGUGGAUGCCAAUCCCCAAAACCUCUCUCAGUUCGGACUGGAGUCUGCAACCCGACUCCACGAAGCUGGAUUCGCUAGUAAUCGCGCAUCAGCCACGGCGCGGUGAAUACGUUCCCGGGCCUUGUACACACCGCCCGUCAAGCCAUGGGAGCCGGGGGUACCUGAAGUGCGUACCCGAGAGGAGCGCCCUAGGGUAAAACUGGUGACUGGGGCUAAG